rnacentral:lncRNA from 1 species
UUAGAUUAAAAUUCAAAAAAGUACUACAUUAUCUAAAAACUCUUUGCAACCUAAAAUAACUUACAAUCAGACAUAACUAUUAUCAUAAUUCACCACACCACCAAAAUAUUUAAUACAUACUCAAUCAUCAACACAUAUCCAACCACCAAAACAUCAAUCUAGUCAUUACUAAUUUUAAGAAAUAUCGGCAGAAUUUCCUUUAAAAAUAGACAUCCAGAAAAAUCUAAACUUGUCUACAAAAAUUACAAUCAUCAAUAAAUAUCUAAA